UAGUACAUGCAAGUCGAGCGAACAGAAGGGAGCUUGCUCCCGGAUGUUAGCGGCGGACGGGUGAGUAACACGUGGGUAACCUGCCUGUAAGACUGGGAUAACUCCGGGAAACCGGAGCUAAUACCGGAUAGUUCCUUGAACCGCAUGGUUCAAGGAUGAAAGACGGUUUCGGCUGUCACUUACAGAUGGACCCGCGGCGCAUUAGCUAGUUGGUGGGGUAAUGGCUCACCAAGGCGACGAUGCGUAGCCGACCUGAGAGGGUGAUCGGCCACACUGGGACUGAGACACGGCCCAGACUCCUACGGGAGGCAGCAGUAGGGAAUCUUCCGCAAUGGACGAAAGUCUGACGGAGCAACGCCGCGUGAGUGAUGAAGGUUUUCGGAUCGUAAAGCUCUGUUGUUAGGGAAGAACAAGUGCGAGAGUAACUGCUCGCACCUUGACGGUACCUAACCAGAAAGCCACGGCUAACUACGUGCCAGCAGCCGCGGUAAUACGUAGGUGGCAAGCGUUGUCCGGAAUUAUUGGGCGUAAAGGGCUCGCAGGCGGUUUCUUAAGUCUGAUGUGAAAGCCCCCGGCUCAACCGGGGAGGGUCAUUGGAAACUGGGAAACUUGAGUGCAGAAGAGGAGAGUGGAAUUCCACGUGUAGCGGUGAAAUGCGUAGAGAUGUGGAGGAACACCAGUGGCGAAGGCGACUCUCUGGUCUGUAACUGACGCUGAGGAGCGAAAGCGUGGGGAGCGAACAGGAUUAGAUACCCUGGUAGUCCACGCCGUAAACGAUGAGUGCUAAGUGUUAGGGGGUUUCCGCCCCUUAGUGCUGCAGCUAACGCAUUAAGCACUCCGCCUGGGGAGUACGGUCGCAAGACUGAAACUCAAGGAAUUGACGGGGGCCGCCCAAC
rnacentral:rRNA from 1 species